AUAACUGAGGUUAUUACGAUUAUUAUUUGCAUCUUUUACAAGACGUCAACAAGGCACUUUUGAGGUAAUGGGAGGGUCUUAUAGGAUGUUUAGAAUGUAAUAGUCAAGUUUAUGAUGUAGUUGGUGCUUGAUAAUUAGAAGAGACCUUAGGAUACCUCACUGAAACAAAAUAAUCUUCAGGAGUCAAGAAAAUACAUUUGGAUCUUUGUUGAAGUUCUGUACCUCUUGAGAAAUUGGCCCACAACCAUUUUUGAAUACUGGGACCAUGAGGAAGUUUGGCAGAAACGUCACUGUCCUGAUAUUUGCUGCAGUGUUCAUCAGCAUAACAAAUGGGAAAAUUCCUACAAAAUGCAAUAAUACCGCUGAUUGUCGAGUUGAAGAAAUCUGUAUGGACAGCCUUUGUCAAUGCCCGCAAGUUGUAUAUUCAAAGAGACUUUACACAGUGUGUAGUCCUAUAUAUGGAAUGGAUAUAUGCAUAUUUGAUAUCUAUUGCGGAAGUAACUCUAAGUGUAUUAACCGUCGGUGUAUGUGUGAUGAGGGCUACUACUGGGUAGGCUCUUCCUGUCGUAAAGUGCAAGUACAGCCAGUGAAGGGACCCUGCAGAAAAACUAGUUGGGAACGAUGGUCAAGUCAGGCAAUAUUGUUGUGUGAUGACAGCAAACAUUCUGUAUGCAUAAAAGACAUCUGUGUUUGUGAAGAGGAUUAUGUCCCAACCUCGGAUGGAUUAUGCAUGCCACAGGAAUUGUACAUGAAGAAUAACAGUCUCUCUGAAUAUCGUGUCAAACCUGGAGAAUACUGCAGAGAAUCUGAAAAUUGUAUUGAAGGACUAGAGUGUGAGGACUUUAAAUGCAAGUGUCCCAGUAACUGUUUUUACGACCAAAGAAAAGAAGUUUGUGACUGUGGGAAAGUUGAAGCAGAGAUGGGACCAGUUUUUCUUGGGAUUUUUCUUGGCGUGCUUAUCAUUAUAUUCUGGUGCCGUAGAAUCAAGAAAACCAUAAGGAAACAUAAGGAAAAAAAGUUCUCAUCUCUCCCAGCAGAUGAUAACGAGCAUGUGCCAUCUUCAUAUGCACUCUCACCUGUCCGUUCCUCCAUCCAAACUGAAACAACAGUUGAUGGCACUGCAUCACCUGCCAGCAGAACAACUGGCACUCCUAUUGCAGAAGACACUGGCACUUCUGCAACCUAUUCCUUAAAUCCCCCAACAGCACCAAACAAUCCUUUAAAGCCUGAUAAGCCCCCACCAUAUAGAGAAAGGAAUUCCUCACCCCCUCCAUCAUAUAUAGAUGUUAUUUCUUCACCCCUGUAUAACCCUGAUCCAAGAAGCCAGCCUGCCACCUUCGUACCAAAUGCUCCGUACCCUCAUGCCUACAUCCCCUUGUCUAGUAGCACUCAGCAGUCCUCUAGUCCACCGCACUCUCUUUCAGGAAGACCACAUUCCCGUAGUUCCUCCCCUGCACCAGAUCACGGUAGUCCCUCAGUAACAACACAUCCCAUUAGUCCCUCAGCACCACCACCUCCUGGUAGUCCUAAUGCAGUGCUACAACAAGAUAAUUCAUCUGCCCCAGUUGGUGCUGCCACUUCUUCGUCUCCAUCGCACUCUGUUCCUGAAGCACCACCAGCAUACAAUCCAUACUUUAAGAAGGACAAUGCUCCAGACCCUUAGCAACACCACAUCCUGGUAGUCCCGAUGCAGCACUGUAUCCUGGUAGUCCUGAUGUCACAUGUCUUCUUCGUCUCCAUCGCACUCUGUUCCUGAAGCACCACCAGCCUACAAUCCAUGCUUUAUGGAGGACAGUGUUUCAGGUACCUCUGACAAUGACAGUAAAUUGAAGUACUAAGCUACUUAGUUUGACAAGUGCAAGGCAAACUUUGACAUCUUUUCAGCAAAGACCUUUCUACAGUGGCAAGCUUGCAGCGAAGAACUUGUAGAAGACCAUCAUCGUAAAGUUAUGAUGAUCCAAAUAUUUCUCCGCUCUUGACCUGUUGAUACCAGCAGUGUAUGUAUAUAUGUGCACUAUACAGUAAGUGCAUGUACCAGGCAUCAUCGGGUUGAUUCAUAACCAUGUGUUGUUUUAAGGCAGUGGAUUAAAGUGCAGAUCUUUUUUUUUUCUUUUAGUUGGAUUGAUUCAUUCUUACUUGUUAUUGCAUCCAGUGAUUUCCCCCCCAUACUUUUCAUCUCGGUAACUGCAAAAUCAACGGGGCAAAAAAAAGUAAAAUCUCCAGAAACAUAUGAAGAUUUCGUUUCAUGUAAAUACUAGAUAGUAUGUCUAUUAUUGGACUUGUUAUUUGAUUGUUUUGUGAUUAGGUGUUAGGGAUGAUAAAAAGUGUGAUGCUGUAGAUGUCACUACUAAAAUAACAACAUUCACUACUGCAUUUGUUUUCUCUAAAACAAUUCUUCACCAAAAGUAGGAUAUUCUUCAGAGUGAAGAUUUCCAUAAUCUGGCUGUAGUACAGCUUUCAAGGGAAAAAAGAAUAAUAAAAAUUGGUAAAGAAUUAAGUGAGGAGAAUUCCUUUGAAUGGCAAUAUAUAUAUAUAUAUAUAUAUAUCAUUUUUUUUUUGGGGGGGGGGGGCGGAUUUAAGAAUUGGUGUGCAAAUUUUUCCAAAUUUUAUAACCUCCAGUGUUUCAAUUCAGAGGUUCUUAUGAUGAAUUAUGGUAGAAAUCUAAUUAUCCAUGUGAAAUGAUAUAGCAUAAGUGAUGUUAUGUGUUUGUGCUUGUGCUAUGUUCUUGGUACCCCAGUGAAGGUAGACUGAAUAGGAUUAAAAUAUAUUUGGCAGAUGUUAGAAAUACAUGUAUUUAUAUUAUGGCAUAUAUUGGUAUUGUAUUAUGAUUUAUUGCCAUGUUUUUAGUGUUCCGUUGAGGGAGAUUGUAGCGGAAAUGCAGAUCUGUUGAGAAAUUACACCUCUACUGGUAUUUAUGUGCCCAGCUAUCCUUGAAGGUCAACACAGAGAUUUAUAAACAACUGUUUUUAUUCUUUUGUUGUUAGAAUGUUAUUACAAAACCCAUAACUAACCAAAUUUGUAAUCUUUGACUCAUAACUUAAAUGAAUUAUGACUGAAACCUGUGCAUUCUGCAGUUUGAUGCUGCCACCACCAGGUCUUUGAAGGGGAGGGUAGCUGGAACCAUACUGUUUUUUAAUUACAGAUCAUAAAUAUAUAUGCUUAACCUUGAUGGUUAGCACAAAGAUUCAUAAACUUAAUUAUUUUUAUUAGUUUCUGUCAUUAUGUAAUGCAGGAUUUGUAGCUUAGCUGCAACAUAAUCUCUAAAAUAUGACAGAUUAAUUAUUGCCAAAACUUAGAAACAAGUUUAACAACCAAAUGAGAUGACAGACCUCACUCAUUAGUGCCUUCAGUGUAUCAAGUAAUCUAAAUCAGAUAUUCCUACUAAUGUAUAACACUAGAUUACUCAUAACAUUAACUAAAUUUCUGUAGAUAAAUAUUUUUAAAUACUACCACUCAUUUAAUACGAUACUACUGUUUUGUUUCUUUUUGCAAGAAGGAAGAACACUUUCAUGGUAUUUUGCUCGUUAUGAAACUACAUCUCGUGUUUGAUAAGUAUUCUUAAGAACGCCCAGAUGGUUAUAAUCUGGAGGAUGCCAAAAGGGCAAUCUACACUUAGUUGACAAGUUAUCUUGACAGAACAUCGUUUGGCAUGAUAAAACAUGAAGAUAGAGGAGACGGUGUGAAAGCUUUGGCAGUGCUAUGAAAGUAUAACAUGAGAGAAACAAACUACAGGUUGUAUGCUUUAUGGCGGUCAUUAAACAAAAGACUUGAAGAUGGCAGUGUUACAGAGUAUUGUUCUUGGAGUAGAUAGUAGCAGCACUAAGAGAAUCAGGUGAACGUUAGUGAACGUUUCUUAGUGACAAAUACACUGAAAGGACUUCCACCAAAGUACAAGAAUUUUGUAGAUGCCACUAAUCACGCAACCUUCCAUAUGAUUACAUUGAAUUAAUGACAGCCUUAUUGGGUCAUGAAGAUCACCUUAGAAAAAUUGGGUCUUGAAGAUCACCUCAGAAAAUUCUGAUACAGAAAGAGUAAUGGUUGCCCAUGGCAAUAGUACAGUUAAACAGAAAUGCUUUAAGUAUGGUGAACCAGGCCAUUUUGCAUCAAAAUGAUAUAAAGGUGGUGAGUUUAAAAAAGUAAAUAAAUCACACAAAUCAGUUUUUGACAAGGUUUGAUGUUUACUGAUAGUCCAAAUUACCCAAAGAUAUGUGGGGUUAUGCUGUGAAGGCUGCUUGUUACUUCAGGAAUAGGUGCUAUAGUCCCAGGACAAAGAAGACUCUGGUAGAAAUACUUACUGGAAAACAGCCAAACAUCAGCAGAAUGAAUAUUUUUUGAGUAUGAUGUUUUGCAUAUGAACAAGAGAAGAAGAAACUUGACUCCAGGACCAAGAAAGGAAGUUUUGUGGGCUAUGGUGACCAGAGCCCAGCCCAUGAUGACAUCUUGGUGGAGACUAGACUUCAGCAAAAAUCACUUCAAGGAAAUCAAGACGAGCCACCAGAUAGUGCAAGUGAAGAAAGAAGAUAUCCAACUCGAGAAAGACGGAAACCCUCAUGACUGCAUUACUGGUGAACUGGAUGACAGUAUAUCCAGUGUGACACAUAACAGCUUCAUACAUCAUUGCUACCAAUUGUCACAUAUCUCAAUACCAGUCACCUAACUAGAGGCUAUUGCAUCUCCAGAGGGACCCCAGGGGAAGAAAGCAAUGGACGAGGAAAUCUCUUCACUUCAAGACAUCACCUGUGACCUUACUACACUGCCUGAGUCACAUACAGCAGUAGGUGGAAGAUAGGUCUAUCAAGUUAAACCCAGACCAAACAGCAAGGAAGAAUACAAAGCAAUGUACUUCACCAAAAGAUGUCACUAUGGAGACACAUUUGCACCAACAGUAAGAAUGUCUACAUUUCAUGCUUUGUUCAAUAUGGCUGUACAGAAAAAUAUGGUAAUACAGCAAAUGGAUGUUAAAACAGCUUAUUGGAAAGCUGAUAUUGAUCAUGAAAUUUAUGUAGAACAACCUGAAAGUUAUUAGGAAAAAGAUCGCAAUGGAAUUUUUUUGUAUUGUAAACUGGAAAAGUCACUUUAUGGUCUGAAACAAAGUGGCAGGAUGUGGAAUAGUGCAAUCCAUAAUAUCUUUAUUUCAGAAGUUUUCAAGCAAUCACAGAGUGUUCAUUGUCUAUAUCUGAUGCAUGAUAGGGACAGUGAUAUUGUUGUGCUCUUAUGGGUGGAUGACUUCGUUAUUGCCAGCUGUAACAUGUCCCUGAAGAACAGAUGUAAAAAAAAAAAUUGUUAAAAAUUUAGAAUGACUGAUUUAGGUAAAAAUUACAUUGAGAUGAAUCAAACCAAAUAUGUAUAAAAGAUAUUGGAGAGAUUCAGUAUGUCAUUGUUAUGCAAGAAAUAUACACUGUGAUCCAAAUAUUGUAAACACCUCAGCAGUAGAAUCUAAUGAGUUGAUUAAUGCAACUCUUUACAAAGAAAUAGUUGGUAGUCUCAUACAUGUAAUGACAGGUACUAGACUAGACUUGUACUAUAUAGUUACAAAACUUUUACAAUAUAUGUCAAAACCCACAAAAGCUCAAAUCAAAUUCUGCCAAGCACGUUCUUAAGUACUUGAAGGGCACCAUGACAUAUGGUCUUACAUUUAGAAAGUCAGAUGAACCAAUUUAACUCCAAGGAUUUUGUGAUUCUGACUAGGGAUCAUCUGAAGACAGAAAAAGCAUAAUAGGAUAUUGUUUUCAAUUACAUAAAUAUGGACCACUUAUAUCAUGGAAAAGUAAGAAGUACUUUCAUCUUGUGAAGCAGAGUAUAUGGCCAUUACUUAUUCCAUUCAGGAAGCAAAGAACCUAAGACAAAUUGUAUCUGAUCUAUUAGGAUAUAAGUUAAAAUCUGUAGACUUAAUGAUAACCAAGGUGCUAUUAAUCUUGCCAAAAAUCCAGUAAAUCACCAAAGAUCAAAGCACAUUGAUAUUCAUUACCAUUUCAUUAGAAAUGAAGUAGAGAAAGGUAAUGUAAAGUUAUUUCAUAUUCCUACACAGCAGAAUCCAGCUGAUAUAUUUCCAAAACCUGUAAACCAGAAGAAGUUGAAUUUUUAAUUGUCUCAGGGGAUAGAUUCUCAGAUCACAUACCCAUCUUUAAUUAAGAGGGGGUGUUAGACAAAUCAAAGAUGUUUAUAAGGAUCCUUUUAUUUCAUGUAUCUAUGGUAUACCUCACAUUAACCUAAGCUAAGGUUUAUAUCUGUAAUGUAAGCAACCCUCUGUAGUGCCACAUAGAUCCCUCUCAAUAUAUAAAGUGCA